rnacentral:rRNA from 1 species
CCGGGAUUGCCUUAGUAACGGCGAGUGAAGCGGCAAAAGCUCAAAUUUGAAAUCUGGUACCUUCGGUGCCCGAGUUGUAAUUUGGAGAGGGCAACUUUGGGGCCGUUCCUUGUCUAUGUUCCUUGGAACAGGACGUCAUAGAGGGUGAGAAUCCCGUGUGGCGAGGAGUGCGGUUCUUUGUAAAGUGCCUUCGAAGAGUCGAGUUGUUUGGGAAUGCAGCUCUAAGUGGGUGGUAAAUUCCAUCUAAAGCUAAAUAUUGGCGAGAGACCGAUAGCGAACAAGUACAGUGAUGGAAAGAUGAAAAGAACUUUGAAAAGAGAGUGAAAAAGUACGUGAAAUUGUUGAAAGGGAAGGGCAUUUGAUCAGACAUGGUGUUUUGUGCCCUCUGCUCCUUGUGGGUAGGGGAAUCUCGCAUUUCACUGGGCCAGCAUCAGUUUUGGUGGCAGGAUAAAUCCAUAGGAAUGUAGCUUGCCUCGGUAAGUAUUAUAGCCUGUGGGAAUACUGCCAGCUGGGACUGAGGACUGCGACGUAAGUCAAGGAUGCUGGCAUAA